rnacentral:rRNA from 1 species
GACGAACGCUGGCGGCGUGCCUAAUACAUGCAAGUCGAGCGAAGCUGCGGAUGGGUGAGUAACGCGUGGGUAACCGGCCAUUAAGUCUGGGAUACCAUUUGGAAACAGAUGAUAAUACCGGAUACUAAAGGAUGGUCAUGCUAUGCAUAAGCUAGUUGGUAAGGUAACGGUUUACAAAGGCGAUGAUGAAGAGCCGGGUUGAGAGAAUGAUCGGCCACAGUGGGACUGAGACACGGCCCAAACUCCUACGGGAGGCAGCAGUAGGGAAUCUUCCACAAGGGACGAAAGUCUGAUGCAGCGACGCCGCGUGAGUGAAGAAGGUGUUCGGAUCGUAAAGCUCUGUUAUUGGGGAAGCGGUAAUCAACCAGAAAGUCCCGGCUAACUCCGUGCCAGCCGCCGCGGUAAUAC